GAUGAACGCUGGCGGCGUGCCUAAUACAUGCAAGUCGAACGAAACUUCUUUAUCACCGAGUGCUUGCACUCACCGAUAAAGAGUUGAGUGGCGAACGGGUGAGUAACACGUGGGCAACCUGCCCAAAAGAGGGGGAUAACACUUGGAAACAGGUGCUAAUACCGCAUAACCAUAGUUACCGCAUGGUAACUAUGUAAAAGGUGGCUAUACUACCGCUUUUGGAUGGGCCCGCGGCGCAUUAGCUAGUUGGUAGGGUAAAGGCUUACCAAGGCAAUGAUGCGUAGCCGAAUUGAGAGGUUGAUCGGCCACAUUGGGACUGAGACACGGCCCAAACUCCUACGGGAGGCAGCAGUAGGGAAUCUUCCACAAUGGGCGAAAGCCUGAUGGAGCAACGCCGCGUGGGUGAAGAAGGUCUUCGGAUCGUAAAACCCUGUUGUUAGAGAAGAAAGUGCGUGAGAGUAACUGUUCACGUUUCGACGGUAUCUAACCAGGAAGCCACGGCUAACUACGUG
rnacentral:rRNA from 1 species